rnacentral:tRNA from 1 species
UAUAUUUUAGUAUAAGAUGUACAAAGGUUUUUGAUACCUAAAGUAAUAGUUUAAUUCUAUUAAAUAUAA